AGCAGCCGCGGUAAUUCCAGCUCCAAUAGCGUAUAUUAAAGUUGUUGCAGUUAAAAAGCUCGUAGUUGAACUUCGGGAUCAAUGGAUUGGUCAUGCCGAUGGUGUGUACUGGUCAUAUUGGUUCUCACCUUCUAAGGAACCAUAAUGUCAUUUAUUUGAUGUUGUGGGGAAUUAGGACUGUUACCUUGAAAAAUUAGAGUGUUUAAAGCAGGCUAACGCUUGAAUACAUUAGCAUGGAAUAAUGAAAUAGGACAUCGCAUUCUAUUUUGUUGGUUUCUAGGAUCGAUGUAAUGAUUAAUAGGGAUAGUUGGGGGCAUUAGUAUUCAAUUGUCAGAGGUGAAAUUCUUGGAUUUAUUGAAGACUAACUACUGCGAAAGCAUUUGCCAAGGAUGUUUUCAUUAAUCAAAGAACGAAAGUUAGGGGAUCGAAGACGAUCAGAUACCGUCGUAGUCUUAACCAUAAACUAUGCCGACUAGGGAUCGGAUGAUGUUGAUUUUUU
rnacentral:sRNA from 1 species